rnacentral:rRNA from 1 species
GAUGAACGCUGGCGGCGUGUCUAAGGCAUGCAAGUCGAACGGACUGUUAUUUGUAGCAAUACUUAGAACAGUUAGUGGCAAACGGGUGCGUAACACAUUGGUAACCUGCCUCAAAGUCGGGCAUAAUCCCGCGAAAGUGGGACUAAUUCCACGAUAGUCAUCGAAGGUGAGAUUCCUUCGAUGUAAAGUCGCAAGACGCUUUGAGAGGGGCCUAUGGCCUAUCAGCUUGUUGGUGAGGUAACGGCUCGCCAAGGCUAUGACGGGUAGGGGGUGUGAGAGCACGACCCCCCUCACUGGGACGUGAGACACUGCCCAGACACCUACGGGUGGGCUGCAGUCGAGAAUAUUCCCCAACUGGCCGAAAGGCUGAGGGAGCGACGCCGCGUGCAGGAA